UGAAUAAUAUAGAUGCAGUAUGGGGUCACCUGGACAGAGAAAGAAAUAAAAAGCAACCUAAAUCUAAAGAAGAACUCUGGGAAGUGCUGAAAGAAGCCUGUAUCCUUUCUGGAAGGAGGAGGAAUGCACUAUUGAAUCAGCUGUUUUCGGGUGGUGACAUCACAUGCCGACCGGGAAGAUUGAUUGAGUGUAGCCCUGAGGAGUCUGAUUACUACACGUAGACUCUGUAUAAAGAUACCUUUAUGAGCAUUAAUUCUUUGAACCUGUGUGAAUACCUGAAAUCUGUACAAAUAAAUUGGUGUGAAAACGA